UAGGGAAUCUUCGGCAAUGGGGGGAACCCUGACCGAGCAACGCCGCGUGAGUGAAGAAGGUUUUCGGAUCGUAAAGCUCUGUUGUUAAGGAAGAACGAGUGGGAGAAUGGAAAGUUCAUGCUGUGACGGUACUUAACCAGAAAGGGACGGCUAACUACGUGCCAGCAGCCGCGGUAAUACGUAGGUCCCGAGCGUUGUCCGGAUUUAUUGGGCGUAAAGCGAGCGCAGGCGGUUAGAAAAGUCUGAAGUGAAAGGCAGUGGCUCAACCAUUGUAGGCUUUGGAAACUGUUUAACUUGAGUGCAGAAGGGGAGAGUGGAAUUCCAUGUGUAGCGGUGAAAUGCGUAGAUAUAUGGAGGAACACCGGUGGCGAAAGCGGCUCUCUGGUCUGUAACUGACGCUGAGGCUCGAAAGCGUGGGGAGCGAACAGG
rnacentral:rRNA from 1 species